rnacentral:rRNA from 1 species
UCUUCCACAAUGGACGGAAGUCUGAUGGAGCAACGCCGCGUGAAUGAUGAAGGUCUUAGGAUUGUAAAAUUCUUUCACCGGGGACGAUAAUGACGGUACCCGGAGAAGAAGCCCCGGCUAACUUCGUGCCAGCAGCCGCGGUAAUACGAAGGGGGCUAGCGUUGCUCGGAAUUACUGGGCGUAAAGGGCGCGUAGGCGGACAUUUAAGUCAGGGGUGAAAUCCCAGAGCUCAACUCUGGAACUGCCUUUGAUACUGGGUGUCUUGAGUGUGAGAGAGGUAUGUGGAACUCCGAGUGUAGAGGUGAAAUUCGUAGAUAUUCGGAAGAACACCAGUGGCGAAGGCGACAUACUGGCUCAUUACUGACGCUGAGGCGCGAAAGCGUGGGGAGCAAACA